UACGGGGGGGGCAAGCGUUGUUCGGAAUUACUGGGCGUAAAGGGCGCGUAGGCGGCCUUCUAAGUCAGACGUGAAAUCCCUCGGCUCAACCGGGGAACUGCGUCUGAGACUGGAAGGCUUGAAUCCGGGAGAGGGAUGUGGAAUUCCAGGUGUAGCGGUGAAAUGCGUAGAUAUCUGGAGGAACACCGGUGGCGAAGGCGGCAUCCUGGACCGGUAUUGACGCUGAGGCGCGAAAGCCAGGGGAGCAAACGGG
rnacentral:rRNA from 1 species